UUUCGUAGGUGAACCUGCGGAAGGAUCAUUAAUAAAUGGCUCGAUUAGAGCAUUAAUAAUCCUACCUUUGUGAAUUUGUUGUUUGAAAUAAUUUUUUUAAAUUAUUGAUGUCUUUCCUGUUGAAUUGGUUGUCGUAGACAGUGAUUCUCAGGGAUAGUCAUAAUUUUAAAAAGACCUUUUUUAAAUUAAACUUUUGUAUUCAUUUGUCUAAAAUUAUUUUAUAAUAUAAAAACAACUUUUGACAAUGGAUCUCUUGGUUCUCGCAACGAUGAAGAACGCAGCAAAAUGCGAUAAGUAGUGUGAAUUGCAGAAUACGUGAAUCAUCGAAUCUUCGAACGCAUAUUGCACUUUUCUAGUUUACUAGAAAGUAUGUCUGUUGAGUAUCAGUAAAAUAUUCUCAUAAAAACUAUUUGUUUUUAUGGUUAUGAGUGUUUUACAACGAUACAAGUUGUUUCACUUUAAAUUUUUUUUAAAAUUUGAAAUUUUUCUAAUUUAAUAUAAAAUUGGAUAAAAUUUUCCCGUAAAAAGGAAUAACCUAAACAAUUUUAUAACUAUUAGAAAUUUUCAAAUAAAAAGGAAAAUUUAUUAAAAUAACUUGAUCUCAAAUCAGAUAAGAGUACCGCUGACUUAAGCAUAUCAAUAAGCGGAGGAAAAGAAACUAACAAGGAUUCCUAGUAACGGCGAGUGAAGCGGAAGAGCUCAAAUUUGAGAUCUUCAAGGUUUUACCUUGACGAAUUGUAGUUUAAAGAAGUGCUUUCUGUUGAAGUUUUGGUAAAGUUCUUUGGAAUAGGACAUCAUAGAGGGUGAGAAUCCGUAUUGACCAUUAUUUUCAGCUGUGUAUACACUUUCAAAGAGUCGGAUUGUUUGGAAUGCAGUCAAAAUGGUGGUAAAUUUCAUCUAAAGCUAAAUAUUGGCGAGAGACGAUAGGAACAAGUACCGUGAGGGAAAGAUGAAGAGAACUUUGAAAAGAGAGUUAAACAGUACGUGAAAUUGUCAAAAGGGAAGCGUUGACACCAGUGUUGUUUUCUCGAAAAUCAAUUAAAAGAGUUGAUUUUGUUGUGUAUUGACUUAACAGCUUGCAUUUCAAUUUUCUUGCUUUUUUAAUGCACUUUUCGUUUAACAAGUCAACAUCAGUUUCUUUUGUUGUAAAAAGGUCAUUGGAAGGUGGCUUUCUUUCGGAGAAAGUGUUUAUAGCCUUUGACUCCUGCAAUCGGAGAGACUGAGGUCUGCAGCGUAGAUCCUUCGGUUAGAUAUUUGUGCUAAGUUAUAGCUUUUUAUAGACACUUGUUGACUAUGAUUAGUCUUGUAGCUUACUCGCUUAUGCUAUUUUACCUACGCUUAGGAUG
rnacentral:misc_RNA from 1 species